CAGACGGGUGAGUAACACGUGGUCAACCUUCCCUUUAGUGGGGGAUAACUAGCCGAAAGGUUAGCUAAUACCGCAUACGUCUCCGAGGGGCAUCCCUUGGCGAUAAAAGGAGCAAUCCGCUCGAUGACGGGACCGCGUCCCAUUAGCUAGAUGGUGGGGUAACGGCCUACCAUGGCACCGAUGGGUAGCUGGUUUGAGAGAGCGACCAGCCACACUGGGACUGAGAAACGGCCCAG
rnacentral:rRNA from 1 species